rnacentral:rRNA from 1 species
AUUGAACGCUGACGGCAUGCUUUACACAUGCAAGUCGAACGGCAGCACGGGAGCGAUCCUGGUGGCGAGUGGCGAACGGGUGAGUAAUGUAUCGGAACAUGCCCAGUCGUGGGGGAUAACGCAGCGAAAGUUGUGCUAAUACCGCAUACGAUCUAUGGAUGAAAGCGGGGGAUCGCAAGACCUCGCGCGAUUGGAGUGGCCGGUAUCAGAUUAGGUAGUUGGUGGGGUAAAGGCCCACCAAGCCGACGAUCUGUAGCUGGUCUGAGAGGACGGCCAGCCAAACGGGGACUGGGACACGGACCAGACUCCUACGGGAGGCAGCAGUGGGGAAUUUUGGACAAUGGGCGCAAGCCUGAUCCAGCAAUGCCGCGUGCAGGAUGAAGGCCUUCGGGUUGUAAACUGCUUUUGUAUGGAACGAAAAGACUCUCUCUAAUAAAGGGGGUUGAUGACGGUACCAUGAGAAUAAGCACCGGCUAACUACGUGCCAGCAGCCGCGGUAA